rnacentral:rRNA from 1 species
AACGAACGCUGGCGGCAGGCUUAACACAUGCAAGUCGAGCGCCCCGCAAGGGGAGCGGCAGACGGGUGAGUAACGCGUGGGAAUCUACCCGUCUCUACGGAAUAACGCAUGGAAACGUGUGCUAAUACCGUAUACGUCCUUCGGGAGAAAGAUUUAUCGGAGAUGGAUGAGCCCGCGGUGGAUUAGCUAGUUGGUGGGGUAAAGGCCUACCAAGGCGACGAUCCAUAGCUGGUCUGAGAGGAUGAUCAGCCACACUGGGCCUGAGACACGGCCCAGACUCCUACGGGAGGCAGCAGUGGGGAAUAUUGGACAAUGGGCGCAAGCCUGAUCAAGCCAUGCCGCGUGAGUGAUGAAGGCCCUAGGGUUGUAAAGCUCUUUCACCGGUGAAGAUAAUGACGGUAACCGGAGAAGAAGCCCCGGCUAACUUCGUGCCAGCCGCCGCCAGCGUUC